CAGUGACGCGCGCAUUGGGUUGGACGACAUUUUGGCCGCGGUGGCAGUGUCCGCGGCGCUGGCCGCCGCAGGUCGAGCGCCCGAAAGAAAAGAGAUCCACACGUCGAGACUAUCCUAGAUCGUGUCGCCUGUGGUGUUUGCGGCCUUGUGUGGCGGUGCGUCGCCGUCGUCGGGCGCCAACACGCGCCAGCCCGAGGCCGCCGUCCACAGGUACGAUACGAUCAGGACACUACCACCGAGGAGCGUUGUCCAAUUAAAGUAGGUGCCCAUAUCGGCGGCCAUCGGCGUCGCCACAACGACGGCCAGCGAGGCCGCAUAGGCCGGCAACUGGCAGGCGACGUUGACCAGCAUCGAGUCGAUGGGCAUGCGCGACGCAGCGAUGAGCCGCUCAAAGACGACGCCGCCACCGGCAAAGGGCACCACGGCGACAAAAUAACCGACGCCGCUCACGAUCAAAAAGGCCAGCGGCGACACGAUGCCAGUGAGGGCCAGUGCGCCGGCUGCGCACAUGAGCACGGCCGACACAAGACCCAGAGAGGUCACCACGAGAAAGGCCCGUCGGUGGCCGCCGAUGAGACCAAACGGCGCAUAAAACAAACAGGCGCCGAUGCAGGCCGGUACGUCGGCCAGGAGCCAGUGCCACCACGGGGCGUCGGCGCCCAAAAGAUCGGCAGCAAAGACGUCCCUCACGACGCGCACCGACUGGAGCACGGCAUUGGACGCCGACAUGCCGGCCAGCGGCGCCCAGUGACGCCAGAGCCAGGCGCGGUCGGCCGCUGCCGACACGGUCGCGCGGCGCAUGCGCGUCUGUUGGUCAAUCUCGUUGGGUGGCGGGCUGGCCCCCAAGGCCACGGCGCCGACAAUCAUGGGGACCAACAAGAGCAGGCUUACCAUGGCCGGCAUCCAUUGAUACAAUUGUCGUUGACCAUCGCGAGCGCCAGGAUGAUCGAUCAUGUCCAAACAGUUGUUGCCGUCGUCAACCGCGCACAGGCCGAGGAUGUAGUAGCCGACAAGGGGCGAAAAGGCGCGCGACAGUGGUGCCGACAAGAGCAUGCACGCCGUGGCGAUGGGCAUGAUCACGUCGGACGCGCGUCGCCCCUGUGCAUAGUCGAUGUAGGCGCAAAAGGCCCAGGAGAAAAAGAGCGACCCGACAAAGCGGCUGCCGACGCGCACCGUGAUAUCGUCGACGGCAAACAGCAGGUUGGGUACGCCCGUAAACAAGAGCGAGUAGACGACCAAACCGACCGGGCGGCGCCAGCCCCCGACCACUGCGCGCCUGACGGUGCCCGAAAGGGUCGAGGCAAAUCCGAGGGGCAUGGCGACGCCGCGCGCGAUCGACAUCAAGGCCUUGGUCGUGUAGGCACCGUCGCCGGGCCGGUCGGCAAUCUCGCCGGUGAGCGUAAACACGGCGUAGGUGGGCACCAGCGUCGCCACCCAGUAGAUGCCCGCCGCCACGGUCAUCCACACCGAGACGGCCCACACGCGGUCACGCAUCCAUUCGCGCAGCGUCGCAGGCCGUGGGGUUGUGUGCGAUAUAGCGUCGUCUGUGCGAUAGGGGCGUCCUGGUGGCGACGACGCCGGUGGCAAGAGCCUUGUGGCUUCGGUCGGCUCGCCUUGCCCGUCAUUGGUGAAGUCUGUCUCUUUUUUCAUUCCGAGUUUUUUCUUGGGGACACACACACAAUUUAUGGGCCUAAAAAUACAAACUCGGCUGUCUG
rnacentral:lncRNA from 1 species